rnacentral:rRNA from 1 species
CAAUAGCGUAUAUUAAAGUUGUUGCAGUUAAAAAGCUCGUAGUUGGAUUUGUGGCGUACGGUGUGUUCCGGGCACUUGUUGUCUGAGUAACCUGCUGUUGCCAUCCUUGGGUGGAACCUGUGUGGCAUUAGGUUGUCGUGCAGGGGAUGCCCAUCAUUUACUGUGAAAAAAUUAGAGUGUUCAAAGCAGGCUUAUGCCGUUGAAUAUAUUAGCAUGGAAUAAUGAGAUAGGACUUUUUUGCUAUUUUGUUGGUUUGCGCAAGAAGGUAAUGAUUAAUAGGGACAGUCGGGGGUAUUCGUAUUCCAUUGUCAGAGGUGAAAUUCUUGGAUUUUUGGAAGACGAACUACUGCGAAAGCAUUUACCAAGGAUGUUUUCGUUAA